UACGUAGGGACCAAGCGUUGUUCGGAUUUACUGGGCGUAAAGGGCGCGUAGGCGGCGCGGUAAGUCACUUGUGAAAUCUCUGAGCUUAACUCAGAACGGCCAAGUGAUACUGCAGUGCUAGAGUGUGGAAGGGGCAAUCGGAAUUCUUGGUGUAGCGGUGAAAUGCGUAGAUAUCAAGAGGAACACCGGUGGCGAAGGCGGCAUCCUGGACCAAUACUGACGCUGAGGAGCGAAAGCCAGGGGAGCAAACGGG
rnacentral:rRNA from 1 species